GGCUUACACUUGAUCGCUGAACUUCAGGUAAGUUCUGUUGAAAAAUUCUAUUUACUGAUGC
rnacentral:snoRNA from 1 species